rnacentral:sRNA from 1 species
AGAAAUUCAUCGUUUUAACCACCGGUUUCUCUUUCACCGCCUGUAAUCCGUCAUCUGUCGUCGAGCCUACCGGCGCUCUGAACUGCUAACCACCGGAUUCCGGUGAUAAUUUAUUGAGUGUUCUUCAGAUUUUGGGAAGAUCUUCAACAUGUUCUUGAGCCAAAAACUUCCCAGACCUUCCUCACCAUCCGCGACAC